UCAUCCAGCUACACUGAGCUGAAUUUGUAUUACUACGUCACGGUGGCUAGAUAGUGAAUCACUACGUCACGGUGGGGAAAAAGUGCACCAGUUGGUGCAACAGUCCCGAGUCUCUUUGGCCGAGUGAACCACCUAAACGUCACGAAUUUCAUUGUUUUUUAGCCUACGUCACGGUGGGAAAUCGCUGCUGACUGUUGCACUUAAGCCCGCGAACACCAAAAUUUCAUUCUGACUGGUGCACUUGAGCCAGCGUUAUCAAUCUUCAAACCUUCAAAAUUAUAAUUACAUGACUAUGGCAUUUGGCUUAUUUAUAUCUUGAAGUCAUCAUGGCUGAAAGUAGGCCUAUAUACGAUCUUGGCUCAUUGAUUCAAGGCAGUAAAACCAGCGAGAUUUCUUCUGUAAGCAAGGAUUAUGAAGCAAAAGUCUCUGCUGCCAUUCCGACUAAAACAGACCUGUUUCGAAAAGGAAAGCUGGCAAGAGAUCUUAACGCAGAGUUGCUUAUCCCUAAGCAUAUGGGAGAUAAUUGGCGGCUUUAAAAUUGCGAUGAUGUGUUGCCUAAGAGCGUGAAAGAGAGUUGGGAGAGGUUGCAGAGAAAUGACAUUGCCUAGGUACUUUAUUUUCAAAAGCACAAACAAAGGCAUUUUAACUGAAGAAAUGCUCAAUGAUUUUCUCACAAUUUGAAAUUCAAAAUCGCCGUAAUUUUCGUACUGCGAAUUCAAUGAACGGCGGAUGGCGUCUCCAAGUGAUGAAAGUGUGAUCUUCUGAAGUGCUCGAUCGGUCUUUUAGCAACUAAACGAACAAACUGAACAUUUAACAGCAGGGCGUAAUCUAAUUCUUAAUUGAAUACCAUAAAGUUCAUAUGGAAAUAAGUACUUGAAGGCAAAUUAAUUGCAAA